rnacentral:tRNA from 1 species
GCUCAGUUGGUUAAGCGUCCAACUCUUGACUUAGGCUCAGGUCAUGAUCUCACUGUUUGUGAGUUCAAGCCCCACAUUGGGCU